GACGAACGCUGGCGGCGUGCUUAACACAUGCAAGUCGAACGGUGAAGCGCCUUCCUUUUUGGUGGGUGUGGAUGAGUGGCGAACGGGUGAGUAACACGUGAGUAACCUGCCCCCUUCUUCUGGAUAACCGCAUGAAAGUGUGGCUAAUACGGGAUAUUCUGGGUCUGUCGCAUGAUGGGUCUGGGAAAGAUAUUGUUUCGGUGGGGGAUGGGCUCGCGGCCUAUCAGCUUGUUGGUGGGGUGAUGGCCUACCAAGGCGGUGACGGGUAGCCGGCCUGAGAGGGUGGACGGUCACAAUGGGAAUGAGCCACGGCCCGGACUCCUACGGGAGGCAGCAGUGGGGAAUAGUGCACAAUGGGGGCAAGCCUGAUGCAGCGACGCCGCGUGCGGGAUGGAGGCCUUCGGGUUGUGAACCUCUUUCGCCAGUGAAGCAGGCCUGCCUCGUUUGUGGGUGGGUUGACGGUAGCUGGAUAAGAAGCGCCGGCUAACUACGUG
rnacentral:rRNA from 1 species